rnacentral:rRNA from 1 species
AUUGAACGCUGGCGGCAUGCUUUACACAUGCAAGUCGAACGGCAGCGCGGGCUUCGGCCUGGCGGCGAGUGGCGAACGGGUGAGUAAUGCAUCGGAACGUGCCCAGUAGUGGGGGAUAGCCCGGCGAAAGCCGGAUUAAUACCGCAUACGACCUGAGGGUGAAAGCGGGGGACCGAAAGGCCUCGCGCUAUUGGAGCGGCCGAUGUCGGAUUAGCUAGUUGGUGGGGUAAAGGCUUACCAAGGCGACGAUCCGUAGCUGGUCUGAGAGGACGACCAGCCACACUGGGACUGAGACACGGCCCAGACUCCUACGGGAGGCAGCAGUGGGGAAUUUUGGACAAUGGGGGCAACCCUGCUCCAGCCAUGCCGCGUGCGGGAAGAAGGCCUUCGGGUUGUAAACCGCUUUUGUUCGGGAAGAAAUCCUCUGGGCUAAUACCCCGGGGGGAUGACGGUACCGGAAGAAUAAGCACCGGCUAACUACGUG